GCCUGGCUGGCUCAGUUGGUUAAAUGUCUGACUUCGGCUCAGGUCAUGAUCUCACAGCUAGUGGGUUCGAGCCCCAUGUCGGGCU
rnacentral:tRNA from 1 species